rnacentral:rRNA from 1 species
GAUGAACGCUGGCGGCGUGCCUAAUACAUGCAAGUCGAGCGGUAAGGCUUCUUCGGAAGUACACGAGCGGCGGACGGCUGAGUAAUGCAUAGGAACGUACCCCAAACUGAGGGAUAAGCCACCGAAAGGUGGUCUAAUACCGCAUGUGCUCUUCGGAGUAAAGCUACGGCGGUUUGGGAGCGGCCUAUGUUCGAUUAGCUUGUUGGUGAGGUAAUGGCUCACCAAGGCGACGAUCGAUAGCGGGUCUGAGAGGAUGAUCCGCCAGACUGGAACGGAGACACGGUCCAGACUCCUACGGGAGGCAGCAGUAGGGAAUUUUCCACAAUGGGGGCAACCCUGAUGGAGCAACGCCGCGUGCAGGAUGAAGGCCUUCGGGUUGUAAACUGCUUUUCUCUGCGAUGAUUAUGACAGUAGCAGAGGAAUAAGGAUCGGCUAACUCCGUGCCAGCCGCCGCGGUAA